rnacentral:lncRNA from 1 species
AUGGUCAGCCAGGGAACAGCAAAGAGCAUGGUUCUAACAAGUAGAAUAAGAAGCCAUUGCCAUGGAUGCGUCAUCUGGGAUUCUAAACACCAAGAGCAAAACCUGCGUUGUUCUGUGACAGGCUUGACUCACAGCGACUGGAACUGGAGAAGACAGAGACCAAGCCGUGGGCACCAGAGGUUCCUGUACCAUACACAGCAAAGAGGAAAGAUAGACGGAGCCUGUGUCCCUAAAGACACUGUGAAACUGAUGAGUCAAUCAGCCCUGAAGGCUGACUUAUCUCUGGAGAUGCUUCCGGUUAUGUGAGUUAAUAAUUUUCUUUGUUUGAUUUGACGUGGUUGUUAAUUGCAGCUGAAAAUCUAAUAGAGCCACAAGAGGAGAGAGUUUCAAGAAGCCAGGAAUGAUGGGGUCUGUAGAUGAUGGGCCAAGGAGGUCAUGCUAGGAUUUGGCUAAGGGAGGCCAUGGGUGGCCUUGUCAAGUCGUGUUCAGUGGGGUGGUGAUGCAAAUCCCCCUUUGCUUAUUUGUCUUUGUUCUUUCCUUGGUCCCCAUUAUCUUCCUUCUCCACUGGGCCACAAGAUAUUAGGGUUCUUCUCAGUAUAGUCUGGGCCUUUUUCUCACCUCUGUGUAUUCUUUUUCUUGAUGUCAUCCUUCCCUGUAGGUCUAAAUGGCAUUUAAUGCUGAGGUGGCCCAAAAUAUGUAUUUCCGGCUCAGAUAUCUGUGUUCAAGACUCACACACCCAACUGCUCACCUGACACCUCCAGGUGAAUCUUUCCCAGAUGGGCCAGACUUUGCCUGCCCAAAGCAGAAGAUUUGACCUGCCUUACCCCCUUCCCCCAGCCGUCUCUGUCUUCAUUCAGCAUUGCCCUUCACCCAGCUGCUCAAGCCAGAAACUAAAGUGUCAGCCUCUAAAAAAUAUUAGUUUUUAUUUUAUACUGGAGUAUAGUUGGUUUACUAUGUUGUUUUAGUUUCAAGUGUACAGCAAAGUUAUUAAUUAUA